rnacentral:rRNA from 1 species
ACGCGAAGCCCCCUUCGGGGGGCAAGUAGAGUGGCGCACGGGUGAGUAACACGUAGGUAAUCUACCUUUGGAUGGGGAAUAACAACCGGAAACGGUUGCUAAUACCGCAUAAUGCAGCGGCACCUAAUGGUGACAGUUGUUAAAGCGGGGGAUCGUAAGACCUCGCGUCUGAAGAGGAGCCUGCGGCGGAUUAGCUAGUUGGUAAGGUAACGGCUUACCAAGGCUUUGAUCCGUAGCCGGCCUGAGAGGGCGGUCGGCCACACUGACACUGACAUACGGGUCAGACUCCUACGGGAGGCAGCAGUCGGGAAUUUUGGGCAAUGGGCGAAAGCCUGACCCAGCAACGCCACGUGAAGGAUGAAAUCCCUCGGGAUGUAAACUUCGCAAGAACAGGAAGAAUAAGUAAGGGUUAAUAUCUCUUACGAUGACGGUACUGUUUGUAAGCUCCGGCUAACUCCGUGCCAGCAGCCGCGGUAAUACGGGGGGAGCAAGCGUUG